UGCAAGUCGAGCGGCAGCGACAACAUUGAUUCUUCGGAGGAUUUGUUGGGCGGCGAGCGGCGGACGGGUGAGUAAUGGCUGGGAACCUGCCCUGACGUGGGGGAUAACAGUUGGAAACGACUGCUAAUACCGCAUGAUGUCUUCGGACCAAAGAGGAGGACCUUCGGGCUUCUCGCGUCGGGAUGGGCCCAGUUGGGAUUAGCUAGUUGGUGAGGUAAUGGCUCACCAAGGCGACGAUCCCUAGCUGGUUUGAGAGGAUGAUCAGCCACACUGGAACUGAGACACGGUCCAGACUCCUACGGGAGGCAGCAGUGGGGAAUAUUGCACAAUGGGCGCAAGCCUGAUGCAGCCAUGCCGCGUGUGUGAAGAAGGCCUUCGGGUUGUAAAGCACUUUCAGCAGUGAGGAAGGCGUAGUGGUUAAUACCCGCUGCGCUUGACGUUAGCUGCAGAAGAAGCACCGGCUAACUCCGUGCCAGCAGCCGCGGUAAUACGGAGGGUGCGAGCGUUAAUCGGAAUUACUGGGCGUAAAGCGCAUGCAGGCGGUUUGUUAAGCAAGAUGUGAAAGCCCCGGGCUCAACCUGGGAACCGCUUUUU
rnacentral:rRNA from 1 species